rnacentral:rRNA from 1 species
AAAGUAUUCGUUAAAAAAAAAGUUCUCGUCCGGUCACUGUAGUUAAGCAACGUUGGGCAUGGUUAGUACUUGGAUGGAUGACCGCUUGGGAACACCGUGUACUGUU